UUCUCUGCAGAAUCACCAUGCUGGCUGGGAUCCUGAACACAAAGCCUGAAAACUGGAGGGCCUUCAAGGCCCUCACAGCUGCUCAGUACAACGGGGCUCAGGUCCGCGUGCUUUCUGCACUACACUACUUCCACUUUGGCCAAACCAAUCACACUCUUGUAUUUCUCUGCAAAUUUCCUGCCGGCAAGGUUCCAGCAUUUGAGGGCGAUGUUGGAUUCUGUGUGUUUGGGAGCAAUGCCAUGCCUACUAUGUGAGCAACGGGGAGCUGCGGGGAAAUACUGAAGAGGCAGCAGCCCAGGUGGUGCCAUGGGUGAGCUUUGCUGAUAGCGACAUAGUGCUCCCCACCAGUGCCUGGGUGUUCCCCACCCUGGGCAUCAUGCGCCACAACAAAUAGGUCAUCAAGAAGACAAAGGGGGAAGUGAGGCGAAUUCUGGGGCUGCUGGAUGCUCACUUGAAAACAAGGACUUUCCUGGUAAGCAAAUGAGUGACACUGGCUGAUGUCACAGUUGUCUGUACCC